rnacentral:rRNA from 1 species
ACUCCUACGGGAGGCAGCGGUGGGGAAUUUUGGACAAUGGGCGAAAGCCUGAUCCAGCAAUGCCGCGUGAGUGAUGAAGGCCUUAGGGUUGUAAAGCUCUUUUACCAGGGAUGAUAAUGACAGUACCUGGAGAAUAAGCUCCGGCUAACUCCGUGCCAGCAGCCGCGGUAAUAC